rnacentral:rRNA from 1 species
GAUGAACGCUAGCGGCAGGCCUAAUACAUGCAAGUCGAGGGGCAGCGCGGUAGCAAUACUGGCGGCGACCGGCGCACGGGUGCGUAACACGUAUGCAACCUACCUUCAACUGGAGGAUAGCCCGGGGAAACUCGGAUUAAUACUCCAUAACACAGGGAUCCCGCAUGGGAAUAUUGUUAAAGCUACGGCGGUUGAAGAUGGGCAUGCGUUCGAUUAGCUAGUUGGUGUAGGUAACGGCUCACCAUGGCUACGAUCGAUAGGGGGUCUGAGAGGAUGAUCCCCCACACUGGUACUGAGAUACGGACCAGACUCCUACGGGAGGCAGCAGUAGGGAAUAUUGGUCAAUGGGCGCAAGCCUGAACCAGCCAUGCCGCGUGCAGGAAGAAGGCCCUCUGGGUUGUAAACUGCUUUUGAUAGGGAACAAAUGCCACUUGCGAGUGGAGCUGAGUGUACCUAUAGAAUAAGCACCGGCUAACUCCGUGCCAGCAGCCG